rnacentral:misc_RNA from 1 species
UUAAGUUCAGCGGGUAGUCCUACCUGAUCUGAGGUCAAGUCAAGAAAGUUGCCCGGAGGCAGGUUGUGAGCGGCAGACGUCUCAGCUGACGGAACCUAAUCGCCAGAGUCAAAGCCAGACCACUAAUGCUUUUAAGGCGAGCCGCGGACGGCAGACACCCAAAUCCAACCAGGUCGUCUCCCGACGGGGUUGAUGCUUCA